GACGGAGGAUGCAAGCGUUAUCCGGAAUGAUUGGGCGUAAAGCGUCCGCAGGUGGCAGUUCAAGUCUGCUGUCAAAGACCGGGGCUUAACUUCGGAAAGGCAGUGGAAACUGAACAGCUAGAGUAUGGUAGGGGCAGGGAAUUCCUGGUGUAGCGGUGAAAUGCGUAGAGAUCAGGAAGAACAUCGGUGGCGAAGGCGCUCUGCUGGACCAUAACUGACACUCAGGGACGAAAGCUAGGGGAGCGAAUGGG
rnacentral:rRNA from 1 species